rnacentral:sRNA from 1 species
UUUUUCUGAUCUUGGCAAAAAAGUUUCCCCACGUACAAACUGAUGUCCUUGUGCGGGUCAAGGGACCUUUGCUAGCUGCCUGUUCUUCAGAGAGCCGUGAGCUCUGUUUUGUUGCUCUUUGUCAUGUACGCCAGAUCUUGCAUAGUUUACCAGGUCACUUUAGCAGCCACUACAAAAAGUUUUUUUGCUCCUACUCGGAGCCCCACUACAUCAAACUACAGAAAGUGGAGGUGCUGUGUGAGCUGGUGAACGACGAGAAUGUGCAGCAGGUGCUAGAGGAGCUUCGAGGGUACUGCACGGAUGUGUCUGCGGACUUUGCACAGGCUGCCAUCUUUGCCAUAGGUGGCAUUGCCAGGACUUACACAGAUCAGUGUGUUCAGAUUUUAACAGAGUUGCUGGGUCUUCGACAAGAGCACAUUACCACAGUGGUGGUGCAGACUUUCCGAGACCUGGUUUGGUUGUGUCCUCAGUGUACUGAAGCUGUGUGUCAGGCCCUGCCCGGCUGUGAAGAGAACAUUCAAGAUAGUGAGGGGAAGCAAGCACUUAUUUGGCUACUUGGUGUCCAUGGGGAAAGAAUUCCUAAUGCUCCUUAUGUGUUAGAGGACUUUGUUGAGAAUGUGAAGUCGGAAACAUUUCCAGCUGUUAAGAUGGAGCUGCUCACUGCUUUGCUGCGCCUUUUCCUCUCCCGACCUGCUGAGUGCCAGGACGUGCUAGGACGUUUGUUGUAUUACUGCAUAGGUGGGUUUUUCAGAAGGAAAUAGUAUUUGCCAUGACCCACAGUAAAAAUUCUUAAUAGCUUUCAUUGUUUGGUGAGUCACGUCUGGGACCCGAGAAGAAAAUGUGAAUGCUUCCUAGGUUUUCCUCUCUCCUUCAUUUUUUUCUCCUAUUAUGGUUGGCACAAGAGUAGGAGGAAAGUGGUUUUGUUUUUAAUGAAGUCAAUCUGUUGUCUUACCUCAGAGGAAGAAAAAGAUAUGGCUGUACGGGACCGAGGUCUCUUCUAUUAUCGCCUCCUUUUAGUUGGCAUUGAUGAAGUUAAGCGGAUUCUGUGUAGCCCUAAAUCUGACCCUACUCUUGGACUUUUGGAGGAUCCGGCAGAAAGACCUGUGAAUUGCUGGGCCUCAGACUUCAACACACUGGUGCCAGUGUAUGGCAAAGCCCACUGGGCAACUAUCUCUAAAUGCCAAGGGGCAGAGCGUUGUGGCCCAGAGCUUCCUAAAACUUCAUCCUUUGCUGCAUCAGGUAAAAACAGCCCUUACCUUAAAUCUUGUCAUGAUAAAUCUUUACCUUUUCAAUGAUUGGUGGAAAGUAGAGUAUCCUAGCACUAAACCUCAGACUGUUGCCUGAAUUUGAAGCAUUUGUGAGCAAGAAAGAGGUUUGUCACUGGUUAUUUCAGCCAUUUGUCCAAAGAUAAAAGUCACAUUGUGUACAUUUGGGAAUUUGGAUAAAAAACUUAGCUCCUGCAGAUUAAGAACAUCUUUCACGCAAGUUUUCUGUGUCUUUUAGGACCCUUGAUUCCUGAAGAGAACAAGGAGAGGGUACAAGAACUCCCUGAUUCUGGAGCCCUCACGCUAGUCCCCAAUCGCCAGCUUACUGCUGAUUAUUUUGAGAAAACUUGGCUUAGCCUCAAAGUUGCUCAUCAGCAAGUGUUGCCUUGGCGGGGAGAAUUCCAUCCUGACACCCUCCAGAUGGCUCUUCAAGUAGUGAACAUCCAGACCAUCGCAAUGAGUAGGGCUGGGUCUCAGCCAUGGAAAGCAUACCUCAGUGCUCAGGAUGAUACUGGCUGUCUGUUCUUAACAGAACUGCUAUUGGAGCCUGAAAACUCAGAAAUGCAGAUCUCUGUGAAACAAAAUGAAGCAAGAACCGAGACGCUGAAUAGUUUUAUUUCUGUAUUAGAAACUGUGAUUGGAACAAUUGAAGAAAUAAAAUCAUAACAGAGUCUU